GAUGAACGCUAGCGGCAGGCUUAAUACAUGCAAGUUGAGGGGCAGCAUAGGGUAGCAAUACUCUGAUGGCGACCGGCAAACGGGUGAGUAACGCGUAUGCAACCUACCCUGUACAGGGGGAUAACCCGGAGAAAUUCGGACUAAUAUCCCGUAAUAAUAUCCGGAGGCAUCUUUGGAUAUUUAAAGUUCCGACGGUACGGGAUGGGCAUGCGUAACAUUAGCUGGUUGGUAAGGUAACGGCUUACCAAGGCUAUGAUGUUUAGGGGUCCUGAGAGGGUGGUCCCCCACACUGGUACUGAGACACGGACCAGACUCCUACGGGAGGCAGCAGUGAGGAAUAUUGGUCAAUGGGCGCAAGCCUGAACCAGCCAUCCCGCGUGCAGGAAGACGGCCCUAUGGGUUGUAAACUGCUUUUCCAGGGAGAGAAACUUACGCACGUGUUGCGUGACUGACGGUACCCUGGGAAUAAGCAUCGGCUAACUCCGUGCCAGCAGUCGCGGUAAUACGUCUA
rnacentral:rRNA from 1 species